CUUGAUCGAGCCCAGGUACAGCGGCCGCUCCCGAUCCCUGCCGUAGGUCGCCAGCAGCGCCUGCGCCUC
rnacentral:antisense_RNA from 1 species